GACCUCGGAUCAGGUAGGGAUACCCGCUGAACUUAAGCAUAUCAAUAAGCGGAGGAAAAGAAACCAACAGGGAUUGCCUCAGUAACGGCGAGUGAAGCGGCAACAGCUCAAAUUUGAAAUCUGGCUCUUUCAGGGUCCGAGUUGUAAUUUGUAGAAGAUGCUUUGGGUGUGGCUCCGGUCUAAGUUCCUUGGAACAGGACGUCAUAGAGGGUGAGAAUCCCGUAUGUGACUGGUUGCCUUCGCCCGUGUAAAGCUCUUUCGACGAGUCGAGUUGUUUGGGAAUGCAGCUCAAAAUGGAUGGUAAAUUUCAUCUAAAGCUAAAUAUUGGCCAGAGACCGAUAGCGCACAAGUAGAGUGAUCGAAAGAUGAAAAGCACUUUGGAAAGAGAGUUAAACAGUACGUGAAAUUGUUGAAAGGGAAGCGC
rnacentral:rRNA from 1 species